GAGAAGAUGGAAUCGAGCGCGUUCGUCCCGGAGAGGAGGAUCUCCGAUAGGGCAGCGCUAAUCUGGCCGGGGAACAGCGGCGGCGGUAGGGUUUCCACAGUUCCAUCCAUGAUUCCGGCGAUUCUUUGUCGCCUAAUCUCCAAGUAAGCGCCUUUUUCUCUUUCCUCCAAUAAAUGUGGAAAUUUUGUGGAAUUAGACUUAGAAUUAAGAGGAUGCAAAUGGAAUCAGGGGAAUUAGAGCAACAAGAAACUCCAAAGCAGAUGCGUGAUUGGGGGCAUUACAGAAGAGAGAAGAUGAUACGGCCGGCGCAGUGGAGUUGGGUAUUUAUAAGCGGAGAGAGUUCUCCGCUUCUA
rnacentral:lncRNA from 1 species